GGAGUUAGCCGGUGCUUCUUCUGUGAGUGAUGUCCUUCCUGCCGGCUAUUAACCCGCAGGCCUUCUUCCUCACUGAAAGUGCUUUACAACCCGAAGGCCUUCUUCACACACGCGGCAUGGCUGGAUCAGGGUUGCCCCCAUUGUCCAAUAUUCCCCACUGCUGCCUCCCGUAGGAGUCUGGGCCGUGUCUCAGUCCCAGUGUGGCUGAUCAUCCUCUCAGACCAGCUACGGAUCGUCGCCUUGGUGAGCCGUUACCUCACCAACCAGCUAAUCCGACAUAGGCUCAUCCGAUAGCGCGAGGACCGAAGGUCCCCCGCUUUCCCCCGUAGGGCGUAUGCGGUAUUAGCCUGGGUUUCCCCAGGUUAUCCCCCACUACCGGGCAGAUUCCUAUGCAUUACUCACCCGUCCGCCGCUCGCCACCAGGGAGCAAGCUCCCCGUGCUGCCGCUCGACUUGCAUGUGUAGCGUCGCCGCCACGCGUCAUCUGAGCAUAAUACAACUACUCGA
rnacentral:rRNA from 1 species